rnacentral:rRNA from 1 species
UUCACAUGAUUUUGGCAAUUAUACGAGUAAAUUAAACCUUAUACAUAUGAAAAUUAAUAUUUAUUAUAUGUAUAAGUGAAAAAUGUUGAAAUAUUCCCAUAUUCUCUAAGUAUUAUAGAGAAAAGCCAUUUUAGUGAAUGGAUAUAGUAGUGUAAGCUAGCUGUUUUACGACAGAGGGUUCAAAAACUACUAUAGGUAGGCAGUGGUUGCCGACCUCUCAUAUUGUUCAAAACGUAUGUAUUCAUAUGGUUUUGGCAAUUAUAUGAGUAAAUUAAAUCAUAUACAUAUGAAAAUUAAUAUUUAUUAUAUGUAUAAGGGAAAAAAUAAUCAUAUAAUAUAUAUGAAUAAUGGAAAAUUAAGUGUUCAUAUAUUCUCGUAAUAUAUAAGAGAAUAGCCCGUAUGUUGGGUGGUAAAUGGAAUUAAAAAUACCCGCUUUGAGGACAGCGGUUUCAAAAACGACUAUAGGUAGGCAGUGGUUGCCGACCUCGCAUUGUUCGAAGUAUAUAUUUCGUAUUAUGAUUAUAUUUGUUACUUAUAAUAAAGUAUAUUAUCAUCCGUACUAAUUUGUUUCUCAGUUCUUUUUGAACACGGGACUUGGCUCCGCGGAUAAUAGUAAUAUACGCUAUUUUAGAUAAUAUCGUUGAAACAAAAGUCAAGUUUCUAUUAUACAUAGAAUAACAAAUCGUUUCCAUAUAUUAUCGUUAAUUUUUGGUGGCAGGCAAAUAUUAAUUUAUUACCUGCCUGUAAAGUUGGAUUAUUAUAUCGUUACGGUAUAAUACAAAAUGGAUUCAUAUUAUCGGUUUUAUGUUAUAUAUUACCAGAGAGUUAUAUGAAAAGAGAUAAAUUUUAAAUUUAUCAUCAAGAUGCAAAUGAUUUAACUUAUAUUUGUUUAAACAAAAAUUGUACAAGUGUGGAUACAAUAAUUUAUGUAUGUUGGAAAUAAAAUGAUAUUUUAAAAUGAAAUAUAUGUAUAUAUAAAGACAAAAUUAUAGAAAUAUAUAUUACAAUAAUUGUAUGAACUUCUUGUUAUAUUGGUAAAACAAGUAGAAUUUAAAAAUGGAAAUACGAAUUACUAGUGUUAUAUAAAA